GUCUUUUUGUUUAAAAUUUAAAGUCUGUCCUGCCCAAUGAUUUUUUGAAUGGCCGCGGUAUUUUGACCGUGCUAAGGUAGCAUAAUCAUUAGUUUUUUAAUUAAAGACUGGUAUGAAAGGUUUGAUGAAAAAAUUUCUGUCUCUGGUUAAUUUUUCUUGAAAUUUAUUUUUAAGUAAAAAAGCUUAAAUUUUUUUGAAAGACGAUAAGACCCUAUAGAGUUUUACUAAUUUUUUAUUAUUUUUUAUUUGAAUAUUUAUAUAAUUAUUAAUAAAUUAGUUUGAUUGGGGUGAUUGUAAAAUUUAAUAAACUUUUAUUUAAAUUAAUACAUAGAUUUAUGAAAUUUUGAUCUGUUAUUAAUGAUUACAAGAUUAAAUUACCUUAGGGAUAACAGCGUAAUUUUUCUUUAGAGUUCUUAUCAAAAUGAAAGUUUGCGACCUCGAUGUUGGAUUAAGAUAAAAUUUUGGUGAAGAAGCUAAAAAUUUAGGUCUGUUCGACCUUUAAAAUCUUACA
rnacentral:rRNA from 1 species